CACGCUGGCGGCGUGCCUAACACAUGCAAGUCGAACGUCUUGGGGGUUUACGGACCCGCAAGGAGUGGCGGACGGGUGAGUAACACAUGGGUGACCUACCCCCUGGUGAGGGAUACCGGCGAGAAAUCGCCGACAAGCCCGCAUGAGCUCGGACUGGUGGAGCGGAGCGAGCAAAGUCUUCUUUUGGGGAGACGCCAGGGGAUGGGCCUGUGGCCGAUUAGCUAGUUGGUGGGGUAAGAGCCUACCAAGGCUGCGAUCGGUAGCUGGUCUGAGAGGACGAACAGCCACACUGGGAUUGAGAACGGCCCAGACUCCUACGGGGGGCAGCAGUGAGGAAUUUUCCGCAAUGGGCAAAGAGCCUGACGGAGCAACGCCGCGUGCAGGAGGACGCUUUUCGGAGUGUAAACUGCUUUUCUGUGGGACGAGCGAGGACGGUACCACAGGAAGAAGCCCCGGCUAACUACGUGCCAGCAGCCGCGGUAAUACGUAGGGGGCGAGCGUUGUCCGGAGUUACUGGGCGUAAAGGGCAUGCAGGCGGUCGGGCGCGUUUGGUGUGACAGCGCAUGGCUCAACCAUGCGAGCAUACGAAAGACGG
rnacentral:rRNA from 1 species